GCCCACCAAGGCGACGAUCAGUAGCUGGUCUGAGAGGACGACCAGCCACACUGGAACUGAGACACGGUCCAGACUCCUACGGGAGGCAGCAGUGGGGAAUUUUGGACAAUGGGCGCAAGCCUGAUCCAGCCAUUCCGCGUGAGUGAAGAAGGCCUUCGGGUUGUAAAGCUUUUUCGCAAGGGAAGAAAACUUAGGCUCUAACAUAGCCUGAGGUUGACGGUAC
rnacentral:rRNA from 1 species